GCAACGGUGCACUUGGCGGAAAGGCCUUGGGUGCUUGCCGGCGGAUUGCAAUGUCAUUUUGCGUGAGGAUAAAUCAUUUGUAUACGACUUAGAUGUACAACGGGGUAUUGUAAGCAGUAGAGUAGCCUUGUUGUUACGAUCUGCUGAGAUUAAGCCCUUGUUGUCUGAUUUGUU
rnacentral:rRNA from 1 species